AGCAGGAAAGAAGAAAAAAUAUAAAAAACAAAUUUUGACAGUCCUCUGCUAGGGUUUUUCGACCCCAGCCUUGUGUCGCCGUUCAGCCGCGCGCUAAGGCCCCGAUUGCGCCGGAGGUGGCAACGGCUCGUCGGCUCCGGUGAUUAGAUGUGCGUGCGAUGAAGGCGCGAGAUUCGCGGCGGCGUGAGGUGCGACGCGCGGGAGCAGUUGCAGCACCAGCUGUUGGGCCGCUGAGGUAGAAGCUGUUAGGGUUUCUGAAAUUUUGAUUUUUUUGGGCUGGGGUUUGAAAAUUAGUUGUUGGGCCUGUUAAUGGUUUGGGCCCGGGCAUUAUUGGGUUUGUGCAAUAAUAACACAUGAAAUAUGUAUGAUAUUAAAGUUUUAAAAAAUAAAAUAAAUUGUUUUGUGUUGUCAUCAA